rnacentral:rRNA from 1 species
UACGUAGGGUGCGAGCGUUAAUCGGAAUUACUGGGCGUAAAGCGUGCGCAGGCGGUUCGUUAAGACAGAUGUGAAAUCCCCGGGCUUAACCUGGGACUGCAUUUGUGACUGGCGAGCUAGAGUAUGGCAGAGGGGGGUAGAAUUCCACGUGUAGCAGUGAAAUGCGUAGAGAUGUGGAGGAAUACCGAUGGCGAAGGCAGCCCCCUGGGCCAAUACUGACGCUCAUGCACGAAAGCGUGGGGAGCAAACAGG